CGCUUUUUAAAAUAGGUUAUAGGAGAAAAGCAAAUAAUUGUUGUAGAUUCUUUGUUUUACAUUCUUAAUUUUUUUAUCAAGAUCGGUUCUAAACUCGACAAAAAAUAAAAGAAAACGACACUAUACUAGCACUACCCCGACUGCAUAACAUAACAUAACACAACCUAAAAACAAAACAUUAAAAAAAAUCACCACUACAAUGAAAAUAGUAGAGAAAUAAAAAAAAAUUAAGCAACAAAGGGAUAGCCGCUUCUUGAU
rnacentral:lncRNA from 1 species